AUGUGGUGUAGAAAUCCCCUCUCCGUGGCCUUGGACCUCAGCAGCUCCCUGCUGCAGCUCGUCACCCUGCCUCUGGCUAACGAACUCCCGCAAAACUCCACGUCCUCACCAAGAAACGAGGUGUCACAUGCAGACCAGUGGAGCAUGUUGUCCUCUGCUUGCUGGCCGCCGCUGUGUCUCCCUUGUUCGUUUUGGUCCAACUAACCCCAGGCGGGAAGCCAGCUGCUUCAGCCAGGGGAAAUGCAGGUAAGUGAAAAGGCUGAAGCAGGGAGCAGUGCUAUAAUUAACUGGCCGUAUUAGGCAUUUUACAAUUCUGACACCUCACAAGACUGGAAGUUUAAUGAGAAUGGAGAGAGGCUCAAAAGCAAUCCAUUUUCCUGGUAAAGAUUGUAAUGAAGGUGUGAAAUGAUGCACAGCUAACUAAACUUGUCUGUAAUAGCCUCUCUGUUAUAAUGUAGUGUUCUGACAGACUUUAGAAAAAACAAUACAGUGCACAUACAUAUAUAUAUAUAUAUAUAUAUUCCUUUCCUUACAGUGCUAAUGUAAAACAAAGUUUGGCCUCAUGUGGAUGUGCCAUGUGUAGGUCAGGUGCCAAAGUGUGUGAAGAACUCAUCUAUGAAACAAAAUACUUAUUUGCCAUGUGAAAAGCAGGACGACAACAGAAACACUGUAGAAACAUGCCCCGGAAAGGAAGCUCACGUGGAGCCGUGGGUGCCAAAGCCAGAGCCAGCUCUGAAAUGGCACCAAGUAGCGCUCUGCUGGCCGUGGACCCAGGGCAGCCCAUUUGCCGCAUCUGUCAUAGAAAGCGGAUGAAUUCCCUGCAGAUCUGCCAAGGGAAGGCAGGGAAUUAGCAUAAAGGCAUUUGCUCAGUGUUUGCUUCGGAAGAUGCUGUGUCUCUGGUUAUUAAUUUAUAAUUCAGCAGUAGCAGCUGUAAACAGAGUGUACCUUGCACAGUGAAACCCUGUAGUCUGUCACUGCGAUUGCAGCUC
rnacentral:lncRNA from 1 species